CACGUAGGCGGAUUGGAAAGUUGGGGGUGAAAUCCCGGGGCUCAACCCCGGAACUGCCUUCAAAACUCCCAGUCUUGAGUUCGAGAGAGGUGAGUGGAAUUCCGAGUGUAGAGGUGAAAUUCGUAGAUAUUCGGAGGAACACCAGUGGCGAAGGCGGCUCACUGGCUCGAUACUGACGCUGAGGUGCGAAAGCGUGGGGAGGCAAAACA
rnacentral:rRNA from 1 species